CUGGCGGCGUCCUAUCAUGCAAGUCGAGCGAAUGGAUUAAGAGCUUGCUCUUAUGAAGUUAGCGGCGGACGGGUGAGUAACACGUGGGUAACCUGCCCAUAAGACUGGGAUAACUCCGGGAAACCGGGGCUAAUACCGGAUAACAUUUUGAACCGCAUGGUUCGAAAUUGAAAGGCGGCUUCGGCUGUCACUUAUGGAUGGACCCGCGUCGCAUUAGCUAGUUGGUGAGGUAACGGCUCACCAAGGCAACGAUGCGUAGCCGACCUGAGAGGGUGAUCGGCCACACUGGGACUGAGACACGGCCCAGACUCCUACGGGAGGCAGCAGUAGGGAAUCUUCCGCAAUGGACGAAAGUCUGACGGAGCAACGCCGCGUGGAGUGAUGAAGGCUUUCGGGUCGUAAAACUCUGUUGUUAGGGAAGAACAAGUGCUAGUUGAAUAAGCUGGCACCUUGACGGUACCUAACCAGAAAGCCACGGCUAACUACGUGCCAGCAGCCGCGGUAAUACGUAGGUGGCAAGCGUUAUCCGGAAUUAUUGGGCGUAAAGCGCGCGCAGGUGGUUUCUUUAAGUCUGAUGUGAAAGCCCACGGCUCAACCGUGGAGGGUCAUUGGAAACUGGGGAGACUUGAGUGCAGAAAGAGGAAAGUGGAAUUCCAUGUGUAGCGGUGAAAUGCGUAGAAAAAAUUGGAAGAACCCCAGUGGCGAAGGCGACUUUCUGGUCUGUAACUGACACUGAGGCGCGAAAGCGUGGGGAGCGAACAGGAUUAGAUACCCUGGUAGUCC
rnacentral:rRNA from 1 species